UACAGAGGCCUCGAGCGUUAGGCGGAAUCACUGGGCUUAAGGCGUGUGUAGGCGGACUUCUAAGUACCUUGUGAAAUCCCACAGCUUAACUGUGGAACUGCUUGGUAUACUGGUUGUCUUGAGGUACCUAGGGGCGAGCGGAACAAGUGGUGGAGCGGUGAAAUGCGUAGAUAUCACUUGGAACGCCAACGGUGAAAACAGCUCGCUGGGGGUAUCCUGACGCUGAGACACGAAAGCCAGGGGAGCAAACGGG
rnacentral:rRNA from 1 species